UUCCACCUUCAUAUAAAAUACCCUAUUAUAAAAACUCUACCCGAAGUUUUUCAUUUCCUAGAUCUAGCUAACACACAAAAAGAGGCAGCUCCCCCAUUUUCAAAAUCGAAGAGCACUUUUGUUUCUUCUCUACAAUUCUAGACGUUUGGCUUUGUUUUAGAGUUUGCUUGAGGAAAUUUAAUUCUCCGUCUGAUGGUUCGGCUUCAUGAUUUCGGUUCGCUGUUGCUGUUUGGUUGAAAUUUGACUGAGCUCCGUUAAUUCUCGUGCAUCCGUGAGUUCCAGUUUGGUUGCCGAGUCGGCGAGUCAAGUUUCAAUAAGUUUGGAUUUCUUGUACAUUGGCUUGGAGCUGUCAUUUAAUGAGAGGUUCUUUUUCUUUUCUCCUCUUCAAUUUUUCGGCUUUUAUGGCCACGAUAUUUGCUGGAAUUUUGUUACAUUAAUUAAUGAGUUGUAAGCUAAAUGACAUUUUGGCUACCAAGAUGCUAAAAUAGUGAAGCUGAAGUUUAGAC
rnacentral:lncRNA from 1 species